UCGAGCUGCUGCAAUCGGAAGCGCAGCGGCCGCGAUCGGCCGGACCGGAAUGCCUGGCGAAGCCGUUGGACCUGGCGCUCCAUGGCCGGGCCUGAGGAGAACGCGAAGCGAGGCAGCACCAAUCUCUAGACCAGUGAACAAAGAGGAAGCUCCCACUGAAGGCAGCGUACUCAGCUCCUUACGCCUACUCUUCCAACCCAUAGAUACCUGGCUUUCCACAAAACAAGUCUGAAAGCAAGCUAUAACCAAGAACACAGCUUGAAGACAGUGUGAACAUCAGAAACAGAUUCAAAUACAGAGGAGCCUAUGGACCUAUCAGACUGGAAGUUUAAAAUAAUUGGUUAACAUGCUAAGGGGAUAACAUUAAAACAUUACGUAUGAGUAAGGUAAACAUAUAGAUGAAAACAUUUUAAAAAUGUAUUUUUAAUUUUUAAAUAUAACUGCUUAGUCAUCUCUCCAACUCCAGAUGAAAGCAAUGAGGGGCCAGAUAUGGCAACACCAGGAAUUGGAAGACUAAAGUAGAAAGAUUAUGAUUUUGAGGACAGCCUAGGAUACAUAGUGACACCCUGUCUUGAAACAGAAAAAAUAAAAAAUAAAAAUUUUAAAAUGUGUUUAGUUCUUUAAUAGAUUGGACCCAGUUGAGAAAAGAAUAAUGUUAAGAAGCUGUCAUUAUCAGACUCCCCAAAGGAAAAGUACGGAAUGGAAGAAUAAGAAGGACAUGGCAGCUCUGGGCUCAGUGGCAUGUGCCUGCCGCACAUACUUCUCAUGAAAUACUCACUAAAAAAAAACAACAAAAGGAACAAUAUCCAAGAGCUAAGGGACUACUACCAAAGCUGUAAAACAACCAAAGCACCUGAAGAGGAAGAGAGAGGAACGUGAAAUACCCGUGAGAAUUUUCAAACAGUAACUACAAACACACAGCUCCUAAGCUUUCUCCCAGCGCCUAUGUCCAGUAGCUCACAAUUACCUGUAACUCCAGGUCCAAGGAAUCGGACACCUUGAGGAAACCCCCCGACAGCACAUGUGCAGACAGCAGAAUAUCAAAGACAUGAAGAAAAUAUGAAAAUCGGAGAAAAUCGUGCUAACACUGAGAACAACUACAUCAGACUGUUCAGGAACCACAAAAGCAAGACAAGAAUGGAGCAACACAUUUAAAUUAUUGAAGGGAAAAACAAUAGUCCUUU